GGCUGCGACGGCCGCCAAAGGCGGACUAGAAGCGGAGGGGUGAAAAUCCCGGGAGAGAAGGAAGAAGGGACUGCAGGCGGGAGGAGGAGGAGGAGAAGGAGGAAGGGAGCCCGCCCAGCCGGAGCCAUCUCCGUCGAGAACAAAAUGGCGGCGCUGGCGGAGGGCCAACUAUGAGGCGGGGCCGCGGCCAUUCCCCCUCCGCCCCCACCCUUGCGCCGGCCGGGCCGGUCAGGGGGAACCCGCUCGCUUCGCCCGGCCGCGGGCGGGGAGGGGAGGGGAGCGGCCCGGCCCACUAUGCAAAGCGCCGGGCGCCGCCGCCGCCACCCCGUGGCAAAGGUCGAGGGGUUAAUGCUCUGGAAGACGGAUGAAAAGGCACUGCCCGAGAAGCGGGGUGAAGACAGCGGGAAGCUCAUGCUCACAGGCCGCUCUGUAACCGAAAGAAGCCACGUGGAAGGGAGGUGAGAGGCGUGCCUGCGGC
rnacentral:lncRNA from 1 species